rnacentral:misc_RNA from 1 species
GUCGUGUACACGUGUUUGAGGACUAUAGGUUGCCAUCCAUUUAGCAGAAAUUUUCGGGUUUGGGCUUCUUGCGGAUGAAUCAUAGCUCCACCUACGGGCUGUCACCUUCUUGGGCGUUGAAUUCCAUUGGGCCACUCCUGGUGGGCUUUUAGGUUUUAUUGGGCCUGGGCUUCUUAUUUUUGCUUUUGCAGAUUUAGUUGGAGCCAUGUAGCUAGGGACAGAAUCUUUGUUGGAUUGAGUGGAUGAAUAUGGGCUUUUU